ensembl:lncRNA
AAACUGAAGAGGAAUUAACUCGUGAGAGAAUCUCGAUACCCCCACUCGAUAGUGAUGAGGAAGACCGGUCAUCCUCGAGAAGGUCCAUGAAUCCAUCUGUAAGCUAUUUGAUCCAUGUCUUUAUAGAUAGUGAUACCCAGUUUAUUUUAGAUUUUUUUUUUUAAGUCUCAGUUAAAGUGUUAGUGUAGUUAAUUACUAAAAUUUCAGUUAAAACGAAAAUCUGUUACGGCUUGUUUCUGCCAUAGAAUAAAAAAAGGUAACUGAAUUUUUGACAAAAUUCUGACAUAUUUCUCACAAUUCAGAGAAGAAAAUAAUUGCAAGUUUAUAUCACACAAUGCAGAAAAAAAAAAACUCAGAAUUGUCAGGUAUAAACAAUUAUAAUUUUGAGAUAAAAAGCCACAAUUAUUUUAUUUUUUUUUUGUGGUGGAAACAAGCGUCCAUACCAAUAAGUUAUGAGCUGAAAUCAUAACUUUAGAAACUUUUAUUUGAAGUAGAAUAAGUAUAUAAAUAACGCUGUCCUCACUACAUUGUAUUUAUUAUAUUUCGUAAAAGUUUUACCUGCCAACUGGCAACUGACACUGUUACAUAUACUCGCCAGCGGCAAUUUUUACUCGCAUCUGGCACUGUGUUAAUUUUAGGCCCUGCAUGUGCUUUAUCAAACUUUUUUCCUGUCUUUAUUAUUGACGGUUUUCCUUUUGAUAAAUACUGAUAACCAUUUUAUAGCCCAGACCUACACACACACACACAAAAAAAAAAACACUAUAAAUGGAAAUGGCAGUAUUAUUACAGUAAGCAAUAUUGAUUGGAGGGAGAUAGUGUCAGUUGAUUUUAGUGUUAAAUCAACGUGUAAUGAGUAUUUAAUGUUUUGUGAGAAUUUGACGUUGUAUGAAGUAUUUUCUGUUUUUUAAAGUGUGACAACACAAAUGACAAGAAAAAAAAAAGGCAGCAGUCCAAAGCAUUAAAAAAAGGAAGAAUUUAAUGGAUAUCCUAAAAGAAAAGAAAAAAGUUAUCCAGACCAGUUUUGAAUCACAAGAGGAACAUGUCCCCAUGGCUGUGCACAAGGAACUGCAAGACAAAUACUACAACCUAAAAAAAAGGAUGCGAGAGGAGGAGAUGUCUAAUGAAGAAAACGAGAAAACAAUUAAAUUUUUAAAAGAAGAGAAAAGGGACAUGAAGGCUGAACUGCAGCAACUAAGGUGGUUAAACCUAAAUCUCCAAGAGGAGCUUUACAAAAAAAAAAAAAUAACACAGAAUGAGACCUCUUCUGCAGUCCAUACUCCACUCCCUCAACGGCCAUUUCAUGGUACAGAAAAACUAGCAGAAAAGCAAACAGAGAUGAUACCCAAAAUAAAACAAAAAGAACCACAGACCUCUUCUGCAGGCCACACUCAACUCCCACAGCAACCAGUUCUUGGUCCGGAAGAACCAGCAGAGGAGCUAGGACACAGGGAUGGCAAGGUAUUUGUAGUAUGUUCAGUUCAAUAAAGAGGAAGGAGACCGGGGUCGGUGUACGGGGCUCGUGGGAAACUUUAUUUAAAUAAUAAUAACACAAAAUAAACAAACGCAACAGGUGCGCGCACUUCACAGUCUCUAUCAGAAUCAGAAUCGGAAAGAGCUUUAUUACCAAGUAUGCUUGUGCAUACAAUGAAUUUGUUUUAGUGACAUAAGCUUCCAGUACACAGAGACAACAACACACAGACAAGAAAAAAAAAAGACAAUUACAAAUUGGCAAAUAAAUAAGUGUAUAAACAAUUGUGGUAUAAAUGAUAAUGGAAUAGGAUUGAGUGAGAUGCAGGAAUGUUCUAAGAUGGAGGUUUAACAAAUAAAUAUAAGGAUAUUGCACGUUUAUGAGCAUAAGUAGAGAACAUUUAACUGUUCAUGAGGUCGAUUGCCUGGGGGAAGAAACUGUUCUUGUGCCUUACUGUUCGAGCCCGUUGCUCCGUGCUGCAUCCGCGAUUAAAACCUUACCUCCACGGCGGGUCUGUUUUGGACCCGCACAUUGAAACAUAUAUCCGCCACGGACCUGCAACGGACUCCUAAAAAUACGGUCUCAUCUGGCCCGGGUCCGUUUUUGACCCGUUUAUCUCAUUUUCAAAAUCCCUUCUGUUCUUGUUGUAGGAUAAAAGUACCAUCAGCUCAUCGGUUCACGAAUCGGACGCGUUCACGAAUCGUUUCUUUUAGGCAGAAACGGUUCUUCACUCGUGAACGAGUCAGUCUAUUGUUCGUUAUCUGGCUCGGCUCGGUGUUCAUCUUCAGUUCUCUCUUCACAGCAGUUCAGUCAGUGUACUGUUUGAGUGCAUGAAUUACUCCGGGAUAUUGGUUUGUUUGAACUCCGAGGGAGUGUCAGUCACAUUAAAAAAGUUAACAGCUUAAGUCAUUUGUGGAUUAAUGCAUAUUAGAGAUGCGAACCGUUCAAAACUAUUCAGUUCGAUUUGGUGAACUGAAUGAUUUGUUCGCGAACUGGAUAUCCAGACUGCUUUGAUUUGAACGCUCUCUCACAACAGACACGGAAGAGAAGACAAUACUGAAUAAAGUCGUUGUUUUUGCCAUUUUUGGACCAAAAUGUAUUUUCAAUGCUUCAAAAAUUUCCAACUGUGAUGUCACAUGGACUACUUUGAUGAUGUUUUUCUUACCUUUCUUAUUUUCACCGUUGACUGCAGACUGAUAACCCUCACACACCCGCGUGGUUUAACCCCUUACUAGUAACCCCCCUUUUUUGGCAUGGAGACCGAAAUUACAUACCCAAAAUAAAAAGGUUUCUGCUCAUGAUUCUUUCUGACUAGAUACAUAAUCAACCUUUGUUCACAAAGCUGACACUUUAAAGUUUACUGUUCAGGAAUCAGAAUCACUCAGACUGUUAUGAUAAUAGAGAUGUAUAAGCUCAAACAUAAAAACAAAAAUAAAAAUAUUAAAAACAUAUGUUUUAAAUGUAUUUAAAAAAAUGUUGAUGUAGGAAAUGAGUUUGAAAACACAGUGUAGCUAAGGCCACAAGUCUUCCAAGACUUCAUAAAAAAUUUCAUAAUCGAAUCUGUAAAACUGUGAAUUUUAUGAAAUAUUUUCUAAGGCCAUGUCAUGUGUUUUUUUAGAGAAGGCUAAUCAGAUUGAUUUAUGGCCCUUGUCAUCUCUGUAAGAUCUCACAUGUAAACUCUCCUGUGCUCUUUGUGUAUGUAUCACUGUUGAAAACUGCCCGAUUCAUGAUUGUAUUGUUCUCACCAAACGGUUCUUUCACACCUCCGCCAAGUAUGACACAUUAUCCGCAUUAUUCUUUUAUCAUUAUUCUUUUGUUUUUAUUCCACCUUUAUUAGCCUUGAUUGUGGUUUUUCAGGCUUUACAAAGCAACAAAGCAGCGAUCUCACUUCAGUCUCUCUUUGCAUUUAGCCCUUAUUUAUCAAAAGUCUUACUAUAAAAAUACAACAAAACAUUUUCUUACGACCUUACGUGAAUUAUUGAGACAAAAAUGCAUUAUGAAGAAGAAAAGCACCUGCUAUUAGUAGCAUUGGUGCUAACGUUAGCAUCAAGCUACAUCUGACAAUUUAUGAAAUUAUUAGUACACUUUUACUCAAAACUCACUUUAAACCCCGAUCGAGUGUUUAUAAUAACUUCCUUUAGCGAUCAGGGGUGGAAUUUGGUCGUUUACUGUUGUAAAAAUAUGUUAUUUGUAGCCUUUUUCAUCGCUGCACAAGUUAGCAUUUCCCAUGUACAUUUUCGAUUUUUUUAUAAAAACGCCCCAGAUCUCAAGAAAUUCUCAUACCAAGCUUUACUAUCGUAAUCGCGGGUUUAUUAUUCGGAUAUUUCGUGUGUACAGAGGUGUUUCAGUGUUGUUUUGGCCAGAUAACUACCAGGAAGUGUGCAGGAAGCAUGUGACACGAUGGGGCGGUGUCCAGAUAUGACACUCUAAUAUUGACAUUGGGAAGGCCCAAUCGGAGUCUGAGUCACACACCGCACGAGCUGUGACUACUGCACGCACACACAGAUCGCUGGGAGAGGCUGUUUAUCAUCAGAUCGCGUAAAUCAGUGGAAAAUGAAUAGAAAUGACGAUUCUGUCUGAAGAAAUAUGAAGUAAACAUCUGUAAAUAUAUCCAUAUAUCUCCGCAGAUAUGCAUCUUUUGUCUUUAAAUCCUUAUUGACGCUGUUCAGUGAGUCUAUGUGAACACAAAUAAACCGCUCUUGACGUGACUGAAUAUGAGUGAGUGGUGAAUUUCUAUUCAAAAUGUGCCAUAAUACGGAUUAAUUAUUUUGCACUCCUGACAUAAAUCACUAAAUAUCUGUCACUGCAACAAUGUUUUAUCAAAAUAUUGGUCAAAUAUAAUAUAUUUAAAUGAAAACUGGAAUAUUUGUAUGUAAUAUAUGUUGCAUUUUGACAUUGCCAACCUUUAAAUUAAGUUGACAGUAAGUAAUAAACAGUAUUAAGCACUGAGUAGUUGAAUAUGGUUAAGUUUUCCUUAUCACUAUUUUUAUUUUUAUAGUUGUUAAAUGAUCAACUUGCAAUGAACAGAAGAAAAAGAAAAUCUGAAAAUAUAUUUUUGUGUUCCACAGAAGAUAGUGAUACAGGUUUGAAACUAUAUGAGGGAGUACGAGACAAAAAGCUCGUUUUCAGGUAAAAAUAUUUAGCUGUUUGUGAAUGUAUGUAUAAUAAUGUGUAAUAAAAAUAUGUCCAAUGACCUGUUUAAAUUGAAUAAUAUAAACAAAAAUGCCCUUAACUAUGACCUCUAUACAAAUUUCCUGGACAAAGUCAUUUUGUCCGUCUCGGUCCUCCUCAUCCCACUUCUGUCCAUCUUGAUGUGAAGUUUUCAUCUAUAAUCAAUCAUUUUUUUAAGUUAACUUACAGCAAUAGAAAAAUAGCUAACACACAAAAAACUAAACAGUCAUUUCAAAAACAACAUUUUAAAGUAUUAAAGUCCUCUUCAUCAUAAGUAAUGUAUGAUUAUUUUCUUCAUAUUCUUGUACUGUUUGUGUCCAUGCACCUUGUUCAGUGUUAAAAGUGUGGCAGAUUCCAUCUCAUUAGUAAAAUCAACUAUAACAGAAACC